UAACACGUGGGUAACCUGCCUGUAAGACUGGGAUAACUCCGGGAAACCGGAGCUAAUACCGGAUAGUUCCUUGAACCGCAUGGUUCAAGGAUGAAAGACGGUUUCGGCUGUCACUUACAGAUGGACCCGCGGCGCAUUAGCUAGUUGGUGAGGUAACGGCUCACCAAGGCGACGAUGCGUAGCCGACCUGAGAGGGUGAUCGGCCACACUGGGACUGAGACACGGCCCAGACUCCUACGGGAGGCAGCAGUAGGGAAUCUUCCGCAAUGGACGAAAGUCUGACGGAGCAACGCCGCGUGAGUGAUGAAGGUUUUCGGAUCGUAAAGCUCUGUUGUUAGGGAAGAACAAGUGCAAGAGUAACUGCUUGCACCUUGACGGUACCUAACCAGAAAGCCACGGCUAACUACGUGCCAGCAGCCGCGGUAAUACGUAGGUGGCAAGCGUUGUCCGGAAUUAUUGGGCGUAAAGGGCUCGCAGGCGGUUUUCUUAAAUCUGAUGUGAAAGCCCCCGGCUCAACCGGGGAGGGUCAUUGGAAACUGGGAAACUUGAGUGCAGAAGAGGAGAGUGGAAUUCCACGUGUAGCGGUGAAAUGCGUAGAGAUG
rnacentral:rRNA from 1 species